rnacentral:rRNA from 1 species
GGACUACUGGGGUAUCUAAUCCUUAUCGCUCCCCACGCUUUCGUCCUAGCAGUGUCAGGUAGCACCCAGAAGCCUGCCUACGCUAUUGGUGUUCCAAACGAUAUCAACGCAUUUCACUACUACACCGUUUGUUCCAGCUUCCUCUUUGCUCCUCUAGUUUAGAAGUUUCAAAAGACAGAUUUCGAGUUAAGCUCGAAGAUUUCACUUCUGACUUUCUAAACCACCUAUCGGUACGCUUUACGCCCAAUGAUUCCGGAUAACGCUUGAGGUCUCUGUAUUACCGCGGCGGCUGGCAC